AAUCAACGCUGGCGGCGUGCCUAACACAUGCAAGUCGAACGCGAGAGGGGGCUUCGGCCCCGAUUGAGUGGCGAACGGGUGAGUAACGCGUGGGUGACCUACCUUCGAGUGGGGGAUAACGUCCCGAAAGGGACGCUAAUACCGCAUAACAUCCUGCUUUUGAAUGGGUGGAGAUCAAAGCCGGGGAUCGCAAGACCUGGCGCUUGAUGAGGGGCCCGCGUCUGAUUAGCUAGUUGGGGAGGUAACGGCCCACCAA
rnacentral:rRNA from 1 species